UACGUAGGGGGCGAGCGUUGUCCGGAUUUAUUGGGCGUAAAGAGCGUGUAGGCGGCCAGGUAGGUCUGCUGUGAAAACUCGAGGCUCAACCUCGAGACGUCGGCGGAAACCAUCUGGCUAGAGUCCGGAAGAGGAGAGUGGAAUUCCUGGUGUAGCGGUGAAAUGCGCAGAUAUCAGGAAGAACACCCGUGGCGAAGGCGGCUCUCUGGGACGGUACUGACGCUGAGGAGCGAAAGCAUGGGGAGCAAACGGG
rnacentral:rRNA from 1 species